GACGAACGCUGGCGGCGUGCUUAACACAUGCAAGUCGAACGGAAAGGCCCUGCUUGCAGGGUCCUCGAGUGGCGAACGGGUGAGUAACACGUGGGUGAUCUGCCCUGCACUUCGGGAUAAGCCUGGGAAACUGGGUCUAAUACCGGAUAGGAGCCAUUUUUAGUGUGAUGGUUGGAAAGUUUUUUCGGUGUAGGAUGAGCUCGCGGCCUAUCAGCUUGUUGGUGGGGUAAUGGCCUACCAAGGCGGCGACGGGUAGCCGGCCUGAGAGGGUGGACGGCCACAAUGGGACUGAGAUACGGCCCAGACUCCUACGGGAGGCAGCAGUGGGGAAUAUUGCACAAUGGGCGCAAGCCUGAUGCAGCGACGCCGCGUGGGGGAUGACGGCCUUCGGGUUGUAAACUCCUUUCGCUAGGGACGAAGCUUUUUGUGACGGUACCUAGAUAAGAAGCACCGGCUAACUACGUG
rnacentral:rRNA from 1 species